GCUAUUCGGUGUGGAAAUUUCAAGACUUCAGCGAAAAGAAAAAUAUUUAAAAAAUACAAAAACAACUGCAAAACGGCAAAUUUUCGGUAAUUAUGUUUGUAAUUUUUCAAAAUUUCCCUUUUAGCUAAAGUCUUGAAAUUUCUACACCAAAUAGCGUUUUUCAAUAGCUUCAAUUUGAUAUAUAGCCCAACGUUCAGUGUUGAGUAUUUCUGCUCAUAACUCAGAAAAACUAAAAUGCACUGGCUUCAAUUUCCCCCCCUGAGUUAGCCUUCCAGUUUAUUUAUAGUUCAAUGG